CCUUAACCAAAUCUUUGAACCAAUUCCUCUUGGACGAAAGUAUGUAAUGAACUCUUUCUUCGGAACAAGAGUGACAGGUGGUGCAUGGUUGUCGUCAGCUCGUGUCGUGAGAUGUUGGGUUAAGUCCCGCAACGAGCGCAACCCUUGUCCUUAGUAGCCAGCAAUUCGGUUGGGCACUCUAGGGAGACUGCCCGGGUGAACCGGGAGGAAGGUGGGGAUGACGUCAAAUCAUCAUGCCCCUUAUGAUUUGGGCUACACACGUGCUACAAUGGCGUAAACAAAGGGAAGCAAUUGGGUGACCAUGAGCAAAUCUCAAAAAUAACGUCUCAGUUCGGAUUGUAGUCUGCAACUCGACUACAUGAAGCUGGAAUCGCUAGUAAUCGCGAAUCAGAAUGUCGCGGUGAAUACGUUCCCGGGUCUUGUACACACCGCCCGUCACACCAUGGGAGUUGGGAAUGCCCGAAGCCGGUGACCUAACCGUAAGGAAGGAGCCGUCGAAGGCAGGAUCGAUAACUGGGGUG
rnacentral:rRNA from 1 species